rnacentral:rRNA from 1 species
UGGAUCCAGACUUUGAUUCUGGCUCAGGACGAACGCUGGCGGCGUGCCUAAUACAUGCAAGUAGAACGCUGAAGAGAGGAGCUUGCUCUUCUUGGAUGAGUUGCGAACGGGUGAGUAACGCGUAGGUAACCUGCCUUGUAGCGGGGGAUAACUAUUGGAAACGAUAGCUAAUACCGCAUAACAAUGGAUGACUCAUGUCAUUUAUUUGAAAGGGGCAAAUGCUCCACUACAAGAUGGACCUGCGUUGUAUUAGCUAGUAGGUGAGGUAACGGCUCACCUAGGCGACGAUACAUAGCCGACCUGAGAGGGUGAUCGGCCACACUGGGACUGAGACACGGCCCAGACUCCUACGGGAGGCAGCAGUAGGGAAUCUUCGGCAAUGGGGGCAACCCUGACCGAGCAACGCCGCGUGAGUGAAGAAGGUUUUCGGAUCGUAAAGCUCUGUUGUAAGUCAAGAACGAGUGUGAGAGUGGAAAGUUCACACUGUGACGGUAGCUUACCAGAAAGGGACGGCUAACUACGUGCCAGCAGCCGCGGUAAUACGUAGGUCCCGAGCGUUGUCCGGAUUUAUUGGGCGUAAAGCGAGCGCAGGCGGUUUGAUAAGUCUGAAGUUAAAGGCUGUGGCUCAACCAUAGUUCGCUUUGGAAACUGUCAAACUUGAGUGCAGAAGGGGAGAGUGGAAUUCCAUGUGUAGCGGUGAAAUGCGUAGAUAUAUGGAGGAACACCGGUGGCGAAAGCGGCUCUCUGGUCUGUAACUGACGCUGAGGCUCGAAAGCGUGGGGAGCGAACAGGAUUAGAUACCCUGGUAGUCCACGCCGUAAACGAUGAGUGCUAGGUGUUGGAUUCUUUCCGGGAUUCAGUGCCGCAGCUAACGCAUUAAGCACUCCGCCUGGGGAGUACGACCGCAAGGUUGCAACUCAAAGGAAUUGACGGA